GGGCAUGUGGUGUAGUUGGUUAUCACGCUCGCUUAGCAUCCGCCGUCAGGCAGUGCUUGCGAGAGGGGUCCGGUUCAAUCCCGGACAUGUCCA